rnacentral:rRNA from 1 species
GACGAACGCUGGCGGCGUGCUUAACACAUGCAAGUCGAACGGAAAGGCCCUGCUUUUGUGGGGUGCUCGAGUGGCGAACGGGUGAGUAACACGUGAGUAACCUGCCCUUGACUUUGGGAUAACUUCAGGAAACUGGGGCUAAUACCGGAUAGGAGCUCCUGCUGCAUGUUGGGGGUUGGAAAGUUUCGGCGGUUGGGGAUGGACUCGCGGCUUAUCAGCUUGUUGGUGGGGUAGUGGCUUACCAAGGCUUUGACGGGUAGCCGGCCUGGGAGGGUUACCGGCCACAUGGGGACUGAGAGAGGGAGCAGACUCCUACGGGAGGCAGCAGUGGGGAAUAUUGCACAAUGGGCGGAAGCCUGAGGCAGCAACGCCGCGUGCGGGAUGACGGCCUUCGGGUUGUAAACCGAUUUCGCCUGUGACGAAGCGUGAGUGACGGUAAUGGGUAAAGAAGCACCGGCUAACUACGUG